AAUGACAUAUAUAUAUGAAAUCUUUAAUGUUUCAUUUCUAACCCCAAACUACUUACUAAUGAAAAAAUGUCCCUCCUGGGAAAGGGCAGAAAACCUAGCUGAGCUUUCAAGUAAGAUAUAAAGUUUCUGCAGCAGAUGUUCUGUAUGUUUUUUUGUUUUGUUUUGUUUUUUUGUAAAACAAGUCUAGAGCCAGGAGGGGAGGCGGGAGAGAGAAUGAGUGUGUAGUUGCUUUUUCCAUCCUCCUGUGGAACAUCAUUUUGCUUAAUUGGUAGACACUUAAAACACGAUUGGCUCUUUUAAAAAUAGGAGUCUUCCUGGUAUUGGUUGAAAUGUUUCACCAUGCUUUAAAAUGCCUGUCUUUUUAUUUCUUCUUCCAGACUGAACACUUGCCUUUGCAGACUCAGAAAAAAGAAAGAGAAAUUUGCAGUCUCCCACACUCUAAUGGACUAAAUAGCAAGAGUUUUGACGAUGAGAACCCAGCGGGAGAAGAUGGGAUUCAGCAAAUGUACCCCCUUUACAAUCAGAUGUGCUAUCAAGACCGGAGCCCUGGCAAACAUCAUCAAAACAACGACCCCAAGAGAGUCUACAUCAACCCACGAGAACAUUAUGUGUGAUUUUCCUCUUUUACCAAUGGUUGUUCUAACAAAUGUUUAUUAUUAGAUUGGGGAGAGAAACUGAGGCCAAUUGUUAUUUUAUUCUCUGUAGUAUAACCCAUCCCAAUCUAACUCUAUUGGAAGUCUUGAUGAAUGACUUGGAGCUAAUAGCAGAUUUCUUUCCUUCAUUAAGGGUUUCUUAACCACCAGCUGUGUUUGUGAACUCGCUUUGUGUGGUUCAGUGAUGAUGGUGUUUAACUACUAACAUUUGGCCUACAAUGGCAUGUUCAUUUGGAAGUGCAGCAUCUGCCUGUGAUGACUGUAGUCAUUCUCCAGAAAGAAAGGCCCCAGCUGGUAGUAUUAAACUCGCCGGGUCUCAGGCAGGCCAGCCUGUUCAUCUCUAAUUCAAAGGGAUGGAAAAUGAGUUCAGAAUCCAUUUCACUGAUUGUUUAUCUGGGAUUUAGAUUUCCCUGACAUGCUUAAUGAAAUUACAAUACCUGUGUAAAAGGCCUGAGGAAAGAGGCAAGAUUUGCUCUUUAUCCAGAAACAACAAUAACAAAAGGCAAUUAAACCUUCAAUCCUGUCAGUUGCUUUUAAAUAGCCUUGUCAAGGUGAUAUAUGUCCCUUCUCUGUCAGUAAGGUCUUGCGGAGCCACAGUUCUUACUAUUACCUGCCUACUUGAGACUAGCUGUAUGUAACAGAAGUCUGCCUAUUGCUCUGUCAAGUUCCCACAGUCCUGUCCGUUUUACCACAUUAGCCCAUUUUCUACCGAUUAAUUUCUAAAAUCCCUGCCUAAACGGUAUACAGCCUUUCUCCUUGUCCCCACUUUUCUCUAGGAUUAUACUCAGCUUUCACUUCUGGAAUUUCAAACUAAUAUCAGUCCACAUGGGUUUUAGCUCUCCUACAUACUUCACACUGCUUACCUUCCAUGUUUUAUCUACCUCAGAAAAGCCUACUGGAAAAUCACCUGAAAGAACUCCUGCUCUUAAAAGUCAGGUGAAAAAUUCAAAAAUUAAUUUUUAAAAAAAUAAAACCACUUUAAUAUAGCAUAUGUGCUAAACCCACAUGCCCUAUAUUCUUCCUCCCAUACUUUACCUCAUUGAGAAGGGUAAAAAAAAAAUGCUAAAAACAAACAAACAAACAAUAUAGUGACUUAUAUACCAGGGUAUCCUUUAAAUUUUGAUGUCUUGAAAUGUCUUCUGGAAGUUUCCUCCUCUCCCUUUGCCAACUUUCCAUCAUGGGGAUUAACAGUAGUAAUUACAGUGGGUGAGCACAGACAGAAGGAUCACAGGUACAUGUGCAAAUGCCCAUCACUGACUUCUCACAUCUGAAGGAAAGUAUAGAUUUACUGUGUAUUCUGGAAGAUUAGAGGUGUGUCACAGGCAUAAAAAAAAAAAAAA